AAGGAAGAACAGAAAAUAGUAAGCACUGCUAAAUCUACGCUCCGGGGUUAAAAUCCCCGGCUUCCUUG
rnacentral:tRNA from 1 species